UCCAGGGAACAACUUUGUG
rnacentral:piRNA from 1 species